CCUACGGGGGGCAGCAGUGGGGAAUAUUGGACAAUGGCUGAAAAGCUGAUCCAGCCAUCCCGCGUGAAGGUAGAAGGUCCUAUGGAUUGUAAACUUCUUUUCUCUGGGAAGAAAAAGCUUGAUUCAUCAAGCCCUGACGGUACCAGAGGAAUAAGCACCGGCUAACUCCGUGCCAGCAGCCGCGGUAAUACGGAGGGUGCAAGCGUUAUCCGGAUUCACUGGGUUUAAAGGGUGCGUAGGCGGGCUUAUAAGUCAGUGGUGAAAGCCCGGAGCUUAACUUCGGAACUGCCAUUGAUACUGUAGGUCUUGAGUACACUUGAGGUGGGCGGAAUACAUCAUGUAGUGGUGAAAUACUUAGAUAUGAUGUAGAACACCGAUUGCGAAGGCAGCUCACUAAAUUGUAACUGACGCUGAGGCACGAAAGCGUGGGGAUCAAACAGGCUUAGAUACCCGAGUAGUC
rnacentral:rRNA from 1 species